UCAUGUAUGUAUACAAAGAGGAAGACGUCAAGCUCCCUAGUGCUUUUCUAGAGGAAGUCUUAAAAGUCUCAGGUCUCCUAACAACCACAACUACCAGCACCUCACCACUUCCUACCCUUUUGCUGACCACUACUUUCAAUACCACAAGUAAUGGAGGUUUUCCUGGCUGGGCUCUGGCCAUUAUCAUCCCCUGUGGCAUCGCUAUCAUUCUGGUACCCCUGUGGAUCCUGCUAUGUUGCAUGCUAUGUGGCUGUUGUGCAGCUGUAAGGAGACGCUGGCACAGACGUAGAUCUUACAAUGUACAGUACACCAGAAGAAACGGUCUCUUCUGAGGUGACAACGCUAACAUCUGUGGGCAACUGUCAUCACAAGAACAACCAAUCAUCUAUAUUUGCUAAUCACGGGACUUUAAUGCAUGGAAAAUUCCUUGUUACUACAUACAAUUGCAUCUGAAAAGAUCAAGUGGGGAGUUGCAUAUAUUUUUAUCAUAAAAAGAAAAUUGAUAAUGGGCUUAAUAGGCCACAUGUUUUUUGUGCAAUACUACGUUUUAUAUUAUAGAUAUAUGAUUGUUAAUCAAAGUUACAGCUGAGCUGAACAUGGAAUGUUUAUAUAUUUAUUAGCUAUAUCAUUUGUGGUUUCAAGCUGUGCUAUCCACUUAC